rnacentral:rRNA from 1 species
UACGUAGGGUGCGAGCGUUAAUCGGAAUUACUGGGCGUAAAGCGUGCGCAGGCGGUGAUGUAAGACAGUUGUGAAAUCCCCGGGCUCAACCUGGGAACUGCAUCUGUGACUGCAUCGCUGGAGUGCGGCAGAGGGGGAUGGAAUUCCGCGUGUAGCAGUGAAAUGCGUAGAUAUGCGGAGGAACACCGAUGGCGAAGGCAGCCUCCUGGGCCAACACUGACGCUCAUGCACGAAAGCGUGGGGAGCAAACAGG